GCGCGGGCAGCUGACCCAGCGAGCGCCGGCGGGAUCCGCGUGAUCCCAGCCCGGGAGGCACAGCAAUGUGGCAUAGGCAACUUGUUGCCAUGUAAACCAUCCCCACAAAAUCAGCCAGCCCAGGGAGAGCUGUAAUUGAGCUGUGUGUGACUGAGCUGCCGUGGUGUGCACUAUCACCCAGAAAAGAGCCUAACUACAGCCGUGUCAUCAGUGCCACAAGGAGGGACCAAUUUGGACUGGCUCACAUGAAGAUGAGAAAUUGAAGUCCAGAGUGAUGAAGUAAAUUACUCCAGGUGAUAUAGUAAAUAGCGGAUCCAGGAUCAAACCUAGUCCUGCCUCAUUCCAGUUCUGUGUCUUGUCUACCCUACAGUGGAACUUAAGAUGGUGAGGAGCCCUGAGAGGAGAAAAGUGGCAAGAAUCUUCUUGAGCAGUGAGAGAAGAGGGAUGCAGGGAGGAUGGGAGAUGGGUGUGCAUCUCUGUACGUGUUGUCUGGAUGUGGGGGGCCAAGGCCAGAUUUGUAGGACCCUGGAGACCAUAACAAGGACUUUGGAUUUUGUCUAAGUAUGAUGGGGAGAUGCCAGAUUUUUUUUUUUUUUUUUGAGACAGAGUCUCACUCUGUUGCCCAGGCUGGAGUGUAGUCGUGUGCUCUCGGCUCACUUCUGCCUCCUGGUUCAAGCAAUUCUCCUGCCUCAGCCUCCCAAGUAGCUGGGAUUACAGGCGCCCGCCACCACACCUGGCUAAUUUUUGUAUUUUUAGUAGAGAUGGGGUUUCACUAUGUUGGCCAGGCUGGUCUCGAACUCCUGAACUCAAGUGAGCUGCCUGCCUCGGCCUCCAAAGUGCUGGGGUUACAGGCGUGAGCCACCAUUCCCAGCAACCAGAUGGUUUUUAGUACAAGAAUGACACUGUAUUUUAAAAGAAUUAUUCAGUUUCCUGCUUAUAUGGGGAUAAUACCCCAUAUAAGGUUAUCAUGAGGAGUAAAUUGGAGAGAUUAAGUGAGAGGACUCAUAUAAGGGUCUUUGUAGGUGCGAGGCAGAAUAGACAGUUGAGUGGUUAUCGGCCAUAAUGGUGACAUAGUCGGCGCACUGAGGAAUUCAGGGUAGGGCUGGGAGCUGGAGACAGUAAUAACCUGGGGGUCUAUGCGUCCAAGAGAUGGUAUAGAGAUAGUUCCUCUAGUCAGCCUAAGGCUGGGUGCACUUCACUGUAAUCCCAGCACUUUGGGAGGCUGAGGUGGGAGGAUCAGUUGAGUCCAGGACUUGGAGACCAGCGAAACCCAAUUGCUACAAAAAAUACAAACAAAACAAACACACAAAAAACGGUGGCUCUAGUGCCUGAUAGAAACGACUUGGGGUACAGGCCCUAAGUCAGGUACGCUGCUGCCCAAGAGCCUGACUGGUAGAUGGAGAUGCGAAAGGGGCACAGGGCUCUCUAGGUAAGCAGGAGGCAGCAAGAAUGACAGUUCCAGGGGUUUUACGUGGAAGGAAGAGGAGGCCAGGAGGAGGGGACUUCAGGUCAGAUUGAGGAGGCAUGUGCCAUCCGGAGGAGGAGACUGUCGAUGUAAUUAUGAAAGUCCAAGUCCUGGCCGGGCGCGGUGGCUCAAGCCUGUAAUCCCAGCACUUUGGGAGGCCGAGGCGGGUGGAUCACGAGG